CUGGUACUCCCUCCAUCCCAAAAUUGUUGUCUUAGAUUUGUCUAGAUAUGAAUGUAUCUAAUACUAAAACAUGACUUGAUACAUUCGUAUGUAGACAAAUCUAAGACAAUAAUUUUGGGACGGAGGGAGUACUUC
rnacentral:pre_miRNA from 1 species